GUAGACAUAGUUUAACAAAGACAUUAGAUUGUGAUUCUAAAGAUAGGAGAUAAUACCCCCUUGUCCACC
rnacentral:tRNA from 1 species